rnacentral:tRNA from 1 species
GGGGUCGUAGCUCAGUUGGUAGAGCGCUACAAUCGCACUGUAGAGGUCAGGAGUUCGACUCUCCUCGGCUCCA